UACGUAGGGUGCGAGCGUUGUCCGGAAUUACUGGGCGUAAAGAGCUCGUAGGUGGUUUGUCGUGUUGUUCGUGAAAACCGGGGGCUUAACCCUCGGCGUGCGGGCGAUACGGGCAGACUUGAGUACUGCAGGGGAGACUGGAAUUCCUGGUGUAGCGGUGGAAUGCGCAGAUAUCAGGAGGAACACCGGUGGCGAAGGCGGGUCUCUGGGCCGAUAUUGACGCUGAGGAGCGAAAGCGUGGGGAGCGAACAGG
rnacentral:rRNA from 1 species